rnacentral:rRNA from 2 species
GACAGAGGCCUCGAGCGUUAGGCGGAAUCACUGGGCUUAAAGCGUGUGUAGGCGGAUCGUUAAGUGUCUUGUGAAAUCCCACGGCUCAACCGUGGAACUGCUGGGCAUACUGGCGAUCUUGGGCCACCUAGGGGCAGUCGGAACAAACGGUGGAGCGGUGAAAUGCGUAGAUAUCGUUUGGAACGCCGAUGGUGAAAACAGACUGCUGGGGGUGUGCCGACGCUGAGACACGAAAGCCAGGGGAGCAAACGGG